AACGAACGCUGGCGGCAUGCCUAACACAUGCAAGUCGAACGAGACUUUCGGGUCGAGUGGCUCAAGGGUGUGUAACGCGGGGGAGGCUGACCUUAGGUUCGGACUAGCUUCACGAAAGGGGUGCAAAUAGCGGAUAAUGUCUUCGGACCAAAGAUUUAUCGCAUUUGUUUGUGCCGGAGUUGGAUUAGCUGGUUGGUAGGCUAAAACGCUACCAAGGGGAGGAUCCAUAGAUGGUCUGAGAGGUUGAUCAGCAACACUGGGACUGAGACACGGCACAGACUCCUACGGGAGGCAGCAGUGGGGAACAGUGGACAAUGGGCGAAAGGCUGAUCCAGCAAUGCCGCGUGAGUGAUGAAGGCAUUAGGGUUGUAAAGCUCUUUUACCCGGGAUGAUAAUGACAGUACCGGGAGAAUAAGCCCCGGCUAACUCCGUG
rnacentral:rRNA from 1 species